GUCUCCGGCCGUGCCACGUGGAACGUGCCCGAUCCUGUCUGAUCUCGGAAGCUAAGCAGGGUCGGGCCCGAUUAGUACUUGGAUGGGAGACCACCUAGGAAGAUGAGGUGCUGUAGGUG
rnacentral:rRNA from 1 species